AUUGAACGCUGGCGGCAUGCCUUACACAUGCAAGUCGAACGGUAACAGGUCUUCGGAUGCUGACGAGUGGCGAACGGGUGAGUAAUACAUCGGAACGUGCCUAGUAGUGGGGGAUAACUACUCGAAAGAGUGGCUAAUACCGCAUGAGAUCUACGGAUGAAAGCAGGGGAUCGCAAGACCUUGUGCUACUAGAGCGGCCGAUGGCUGAUUAGGUAGUUGGUGGGAUAAAAGCUUACCAAGCCGACGAUCUGUAGCUGGUCUGAGAGGACGAUCAGCCACACUGGGACUGAGACACGGCCCAGACUCCUCCGGGAGGAAGCAGUGGGGAAUUUUGGACAAUGGGCGAAAGCCUGAUCCAGCAAUGCCGCGUGCAGGAUGAAGGCCUUCGGGUUGUAAACUGCUUUUGUACGGAACGAAAAGCCCCGGGUUAAUACCCUGGGGUCAUGACGGUACCGUAAGAAUAAGCACCGGCUAACUACGUGCCAGCCGCCGCCGUAA
rnacentral:rRNA from 1 species